rnacentral:rRNA from 1 species
GCUUUGGCAAGGCGCCGUCCGAGUUCCCUGGAACGGGACGCCAUAGAGGGUGAGAGCCCCGUACAGGCGGACGCCGAGCCUCUGUAAAGCUCCUUCGACGAGUCGAGUAGUUUGGGAAUGCUGCUCAAAGCGGGAGGUAAAUUUCUUCUAAAGCUAAAUACCGGCCAGAGACCGAUAGCGCACAAGUAGAGUGAUCGAAAGAUGAAAAGCACUUUGAAAAGAGAGUUAAAAAGCACGUGAAAUUGUUGAAAGGGAAGCGCCUGUGACCAGACUCGCGCCCGGCGGAUCAUCCGGCGUUCUCGCCGGUGCACUCCGCCGGGCUCGGGCCAGCAUCGGUUCUCGUGGGGGGAUAAAGGCUUCGGGGAUGUGGCUCCUCCGGGAGUGUUAUAGCCCGUUGCUCAAUGCCCUCGCGGGGACCGAGGACCGCGCAUUGCAAGGAUGCUGGCGUAAUGGUCACCAGCGACCCGUCUUGAAACACGGACCAAGGAGUCAAGCAUUAGGGCGAGUGUUUGGGUGUAAAACCCGCACGCGAAAUGAAAGUGAACGUAGGUGGGAGCCUCGGCGCACCAUCGACCGAUCCUGAAGUUUUCGGAUGGAUUUGAGUAAGAGCCUUGCCGCUUGGACCCGAAAGAUGGUGAACUAUGCUUGUGUAGGGUGAAGCCAGAGGAAACUCUGGUGGAGGCUCGCAGCGGUUCUGACGUGCAAAUCGAUCGUCAAACAUGAGCAUGGGGGCGAAAGACUAAUCGAACCAUCUAGUAGCUGGUUACCGCCGAAGUUUCCCUCAGGAUAGCAGUGUUGUUUUCAGUUUUAUGAGGUAAAGCGAAUGAUUAGGGACUCGGGGGCGCUAUUUAGCCUUCAUCCAUUCUCAAACUUUAAAUAUGUAAGAAGCCCUUGUUGCUUAGUUGAACGUGGGCAUCGA